GACGAACGCUGGCGGCGUGCUUAACACAUGCAAGUCGAACGGAGUGGCGAACGGGUGGGUAACACGUGGGUGACCUGCCCUGCACUUCGGGAUAAGCCUGGGAAACUGGGGCUAAUAACGGAUAGUGUGGGAUGGGACCGCGGCCAAUCAGCUUGUUGGGGGGGUAAUGGCCUACCAAGGCGGCGACGGGUAGCCGGCCUGGGAGGGUGGACGGCCACAUUGGGACUGGGACACGGACCAUAGUCCUACGGUGGGCAGCAGUGGGGAACAUUGCGCAAUGGGCGGAGGCCGGAUGCAGCGACGCCGGGUGGGGGAUGACGGUCUUCGGGUUGUAAACUCCUUUCACCAUCGACGCGGUAGAUGGAGAAGAAGCACCGGCUAACUACGUGCCAGCAGCCGCGGUAAUUC
rnacentral:rRNA from 1 species